GACGUAGGGCGCGAGCGUUGUCCGGAUUUAUUGGGCGUAAAGAGCUCGUAGGCGGCUUGUCGCGUCGACCGUGAAAACUUGGGGCUCAACCCCAAGCCUGCGGUCGAUACGGGCAGGCUCGAGUUCGGUAGGGGAGACUGGAAUUCCUGGUGUAGCGGUGAAAUGCGCAGAUAUCAGGAGGAACACCGAUGGCGAAGGAAGGUCUCUGGGCAUUAACUGACGCUGAGGAGCGAAAGCAUGGGGAGCGAACAGG
rnacentral:rRNA from 1 species